GACGACGCUGGCGGCGUGCCUGACACAUGCAAGUCGGACGGUUCUUGCACCUUCAAGCUUGCUUGCUGGUGCAGGGAUAGUGGCGGACGGGUGAGUAACGCGUGAACAUCUACCCAUUGGAGGGGGACAACCCGUCGAAAGGCGGGCUAAUACCGCGUAAGCCGUGAGGUGAGAGGCUGCCUAUUGGUGGCCGCCGAUGGAUGGGUUCGCGUCCUAUCAGCUGGUUGGUGGGGUAACGGCCUACCAAGGCGAAGACGGGUAGCCGGUCUGAGAGGAUGGCCGGCCACACUGGAACUGAGACACGGUCCAGACUCCUACGGGAGGCAGCAGUGGGGAAUAUUGGGCAAUGGGGGAGACCCUGACCCAGCGACGCCGCGUGAGGGAUGAAGGUUUUCGGAUCGUAAACCUCUGUUGUACGGGAAGAAGGAUGUGACGGUACCGUACGAGAAAGCCCCGGCAAACUACGUG
rnacentral:rRNA from 1 species